rnacentral:rRNA from 1 species
UACGUAGGAGGCAAGCGUUGUCCGGAUUUACUGGGCGUAAAGAGCGUGUAGGCGGCCAUGUAGGUCCGUUGUGAAAACUCGAGGCUCAACCUCGAGACGCCGAUGGAAACCAUGUGGCUAGAGUCCGGAAGAGGAGAGUGGAAUUCCUGGUGUAGCGGUGAGAUGCGCAGAUAUCAGGAGGAACACCAAUGGCGAAGGCAGCUCGCUGGGACGGUACUGACGCUGAGACGCGAAAGCGUGGGGAGCAAACAGG